ACGGGGUGCAGCAGGCGCGAAAACUUCACAAUGCGCGGAAGCGCGAUGAGGGAAUCCCAAGUGCUUGCACGUAAGUGUAAGCUGUUUUUAUGUUUAAAAAGCAUAGAGAGUAAGAGCUGGGUAAGACGGGUGCCGGCCGCCGCGGUAAUACCUGCAGCUCAAGUGGUGGCCGCUAUUAUUGGGCCUAAAACGUCCGUAGCCGGUUUAAUAAAUGCCCGGGUAAAUCGUGUAGCUUACUAUACGAAUUCCGGGUAGACUGUUAAACUUGAGACCGGGAGAAGUUAGAGGUACUCCUGGGGUAGAGGUGAAAUUCUGUAAUCCUGGGGGGACCACCAGUGGCGAAGGCGUCUAGCUAGAACGGGUCUGACGGUGAGGGACGAAGCCCUGGGGCGCAAACCGGAUUAGAUACCCGGGUAGUCCAGGGUGUAAACGCUGCUUGCUUGAUGUUAGUUGGGCUCCGAGCCCAAUUAGUGUCGGAGAGAAGUUGUUAAGCAAGCUGCCUGGGAAGUACGUCGCAAGAC
rnacentral:rRNA from 1 species